rnacentral:rRNA from 1 species
CCUACGGGAGGCAGCAGUGAGGAAUAUUGGUCAAUGGCCGGAAGGCUGAACCAGCCAAGCCGCGUGAAGGACGAAGGUGCCAAGCAUUGUAAACUUCUUUUGUCAAGGGACAAAAUCAUCCUCUAUAGCCUGACCGAGGUUACUUGAAGAAAAACCAUCGGCUAACUCCGUGCCAGCAGCCGCGAUAAUACGGAGGAUGCGAGUGUUUCCGGGUUUUUUGGGGUUAAAGGUGUGCGUAGGCGGGAGGUGAAGUCAGCGGUAAAAGCCCGGGGCUCAAGGCGGGCGAGCCGUUGAGACUGGCUGUCGUGAGAGGUCGUGAGGUAUGAGGAAUGCGCGGUGUAGCGGUGAAAUGCUUAGAUAUUGCGCAGAACACCGAUUGCGAAGGCAGCAUACGGGCGGCGAUUUGACGCUGAGGCACGAAAGCGUGGGUAUCGAACAGGAUUAGAUACCCGGGUAGUC